rnacentral:tRNA from 1 species
GCGCCCGUAGCUCAGUGGUAGAGCAUCCGACUUUUAAUCGGCAGGUCGAAGGUUCAAAUCCUUCCGGGCGUACCA